UACGUAGGGGCGAGCGUUGUCCGGAAUGAUUGGGCGUAAAGGGCGCGUAGGCGGCUGUGUAAGUCAGUAGUGGAAGUCCAGCUUUUAAGGUUGGAAGUGCUAUUGAAACUGCGCAGCUUGAGUGCAGGAGAGGUUAUCGGAAUUCCCGGUGUAGCGGUGAAAUGCGUAGAGAUCGGGAGGAACACCAGUGGCGAAGGCGGGUAACUGGACUGCAACUGACGCUGAGGCGCGAAAGUGUGGGGGAGCAAACAGGAUUAGAUACCCUGGUA
rnacentral:rRNA from 1 species